GCCAGGUGUGGUGGCGCACGCCUGUAGUCCCAGCUACUCAGGAGGCUGAGGCAGGAGAAUUGCUUGAACUCAGGAGGUAGAGGUUGCAGUGAGCCGAGAUUGCGCCACUGCACUCCAGCCUGGGUGACAAAGCGAGAUUCCAUCUCAA
rnacentral:SRP_RNA from 2 species